rnacentral:rRNA from 1 species
AUACGGAGGAUCCGAGCGUUAUCCGGAUUUAUUGGGUUUAAAGGGAGCGUAGGCGGGAGAUCAAGUCAGCUGUGAAAUGUAGGCGCUCAACGUGUGCACUGCAGUUGAAACUGGUUUUCUUGAGUGCGUAAGGGGCAGGCGGAAUUCGCCGUGUUGCGGUGAAAUGCUUAGAUAUGACGAAGAACACCAGUGGCGAAGGCGCUUCACUAGCCCGAAACUGACGCUCAGUCACGAAAGCGUGGGUAGCAAAUAGGAUUAGAUACCCUAGUAGUCCACGCUGUAAACGAUGACAACUAAAUAUUGCCGCGAGGCAGUGUUGAAGCUAACGCAUUAAGUUGUCCGCCUGGGGAGUACGGUCGCAAGACUGAAACUUAAAGGAAUUGACGGGG